CACGUAGGCGGUUUGUUAAGCGAGAUGUGAAAGCCCCGGGCUUAACCUGGGAACUGCAUUUCGAACUGGCAGGCUAGAGUAUGAUAGAGGAGUGUGGAAUUUCCGGUGUAGCGGUGAAAUGCGUAGAGAUCGGAAGGAACAUCAGUGGCGAAGGCGGCACUCUGGAUUAAUACUGACGCUGAGGUGCGAAAGCGUGGGGAGCAAACA
rnacentral:rRNA from 1 species